CGGGGCCGGUGGGCCCGGAAGCGGAAGGAGGAGGCAGACCACGAACCUGAAAUUCCGGGCUUAAGUCAUUUGCCUAAAGCCACACAGCUUGCUGAACAGGACUUACAGAAAAAGCACCAGUGUCAGGCUCCACCUCUACUUCAGCCAAGAGGGAGCCAUCGGAAUGCUUAUAGCUUUCUUCUGGUGAUUAUCCAGGUACCUCGCAAUCCGCUUGUGUGGCUAUUUCUUGAUGACCAAUUUGGGGCAUUAAGCAUUGCAUCGACUCCGUCAUCACCACCGGACAGGCCUUACCCGUUUUUAGUCUUCCUAUUGGUUUCCUUUAAUUUUCAGCACUCUACUCAUUGUUUCUGUCACCUCCCACUUCUAACCUUACCUUUGUAUUGUUCUGGCUGCUAAACAUUACACUGUCCUGGGACCAUAAUUAAGUCUGUGGGUUCCUACAUAAAGGGGAAUGGUGGUUUAUGUGGUUCCACCUCAGUAAACAAGGUAUCUCUGCCUCAGGUAGACGGCUAUGAUUACACAGCCAGUAUUGUACAAAGAUUUAUUCUCCCUGUACUUAGUACCUUUCUUUUCUUGCACGAUUAGCCUGUAUCAUAGCUUUGGUUUCUUUUACACUUUCCACCAAAUCAAUUUUCCAACCACUGGAUGAUCCCGGAAUCCCUCCCAAGUCCUCUAAUCUGGCUGGACGGCUAGUGAGUGUCUGGGGAUCGUCCUUCUUGCUCUGCUACACAAAACUGACACCACCCCCGUACCCCCAGUUCUACCCUCAAACAAAAAGACAGCGGUAGUCACAGGAUGGUAAUUUUAUAUUCAGUACAAAUGUUUAUUUUUGCAAUGAGAACUGCACAAAAAAAAAAAAAAAAACCUUUAGUAUAUAAGUGAAAAGUCUACGAAUUCCCUUCUACAAAUGUCUAAAGUGUUUAAUACAAGUCUCAGAUUCACUGACAUAAUUAUUGGCCAAGCGAUCCGUGCAUACAGUACAGUGGGGGCUUGUACACACCUCUUACUCUUGUAUAGGACUAAGAUUUCUUGUACUGUGGGAGGGAGUGGGGAAUGGCCAGAGAAAUUAAAUAGUAGACCCAAGUUCUAAAAUACAACCCAGUUAGAGAAACACCCAUCAUCAGGAAGGUGUGGAGAGGGCCAUGGCAGAGUUAGAUUUAGGAGGAAGGUGCAGACAAAACCAUUUCUCCAGCUAAACAGUUGGACCUGGCCUGGGGAAGUUAACCAAUAAAACACAGAACAGAAAUGAGGGGGCGGGAAGAGAUGAAGAAACCCCAAAGAACCAAAAAUCUAAGUCCCACUUGAACCAGCACAGGGGCACACAAGGAAGUGCCUGCUGGGGGGUGGGGGCAGGGAGGCAACUGGGGGCCUCUGGCUGGAUGCCUGAACCACACCCUUGCCAGGUUUUGCAGAUCCCAAACAUAAGAUACUAGGGCUUUUCUGGUUGAUAAACAAAGGGGGAUGGGGGUUAAUAAACAGUGCUAGAAAUGUUUCAGUUUGUGUUUCUGCACACAUAAAUGACAGACUUUCAUCUUACAUCCUAGGGGCCACUCUUAAGGGCUGCCCUUGCCUUGUGGCAUGCUGGUGGGCACAGCAGCAGCCACAUGGCGGGCUCUCUUGGGUGGGAAUGUGUGCGUGCGUGUCUACAUGCGUGGGAGGAAAGGAUCCUGGUUGGGGGGGGCGGGCAGUGUACACUUAUCUAAGAACACCUGGUUAACCCUGAGCUUAAAUGAAAGGAGUAGUUAAGGUAGAGGCAGGUGAGGUGGGAGAAGCGGCCCAAGUCCUCUGGUGAUUGGGGGACCAGGAUGCAGGAGGGCAAGGGGUAAGAAUACUGUCUGGAGUUUGGCCAGGUUCUGCUGCAGCAUGUUACCCACCUAGAAGGCCAGGGUCCACAGGAAGAAUGGGUACCUGGGCUCCCUGUCACAGCUUCAGCUUGGUCACAGGAGAUGGGCUGGUUGGCCCUAUGGUAGUUCUUGUACAAAGGUGGCUGGAGAUUUCGGGGGCCCCUGGGCCUAGCCUAGGCAACAGGUGGUUCACAAAGAAAUGUCAGGAAGACGCCAGCAUUAAAAAAGAGAGAUGUGUUUAUUCCAUGAUCAGUACAGACCAAAUGCAUAUUCACCGUAUGAAAGUCAAACCAGUCAGUGACUCCAGAGUUUGGCCAACACUGAGGCACCAGCGUCGUGGUGUAGAGUGGGUUCUCAUGGCACACGUAACCUCACCAAGGGCUCCAAUUAUAAAAUUAAAAAAAAAAAAAAAAAAAAGUGGGGGAAGGGGCAGCUGGCUAGUCAGGCUGGGUGGGGAGCCUCUACCUCGGGGGUCUGUGGCCCCCCAGCCCCCGGUGCCUGCCUUGUCCUCUGGCCCUUACUUUCCUGGU